AGGGGCCUACGGGGCGCAGCAGUGAGGAAUAUUGGUCAAUGGGCGGAAGCCUGAACCAGCCAAGUCGCGUGAGGGAAUAAGGCCCUACGGGUCGUAAACCUCUUUUGCCGGGGAGCAAGGGCCGGGACGAGUCCCGGUCCGGAGAGUACCCGGAGAAAAAGCAUCGGCUAACUCCGUGCCAGCAGCCGCGGUAAUACGGAGGAUGCGCGCGUUAUCCGGAUUUAUUGGGUUUAAAGGGUGCGUAGGCGGGCUUUUAAGUCAGCGGUAAAAAUUCGGGGCUCAACCCCGUCCGGCCGUUGACACUG
rnacentral:rRNA from 1 species